CGGCGGACGGGUGAGUAACGCGUGGGUAACCUGCCUCAUACAGGGGGAUAACAGUUAGAAAUGACUGCUAAUACCGCAUAAGCGCACAGGACCGCAUGGUCCGGUGUGAAAAACUCCGGUGGUAUGAGAUGGACCCGCGUCUGAUCAGCUGGUUGGCGGGGUAACGGCCCACCAAGGCGACGAUCAGUAGCCGACCUGAGAGGGUGGCCGGCCACAUUGGGACUGAGACACGGCCCAAACUCCUACGGAAGGCAGCAG
rnacentral:rRNA from 1 species